CCAUCUCAUCAAGAUUAUAGAAAUAGUGAAAUUUACACUUUAUCUCUUUUUUUAAAAAAAAUUAUUUUUAAAUUUAAAACUGUAACGCUUAAUUCAUUGCGAUUACUAUUCCGUCAUUAUUCUAUACAUAAUUAUCGUAUAAUUAAAUUACUUACUAAAAUAUUCAUCAUAAUCUUAAAAUAGCAAAAAUGUAAUUUUUUUUAUAUUAUCUCAAAUUAGGUAAGUUCAUGAUAAUUAAUUUUGUUUUAUAGAGUUAAGCCAUAAAACUUAUGUGAGCAACGGCACCGAUAAGUGCUAUAAUUUUAAAUUUGGGUUAAUUUCAUACAUUUCCUUGUAAAUAUAAUAAAUUAUAAAUAUAUUUUUAUAAAAUUUAAUUUUUAUAUAUUGUCACUAUAAAAGUCUUAAUAUUUUCAAGAAUGACUAUCUAAUUUGUUGCCGUUAAAAAUAUUAUUUAUUUUAUAAGUAAAAUUACCUUUUUACUAUCAUAAAUAUGUCUCUUCAAAAUGUCCAAAUUAUUAAUUAAAGAGGAGUAAAAAGUCAAUUCACCUCAUUAACUAAUUAGGGUUAAGUAUUUUAUCUAUAGUUAACUAAUAUUUUCUAACUGAUCCUAACGGUAGGGACAUAUUUGAAAAUAUCAGAACUUUUACAGAAAUAACAUAUAAAAAUUGAACUUUGUAGGGAUAUAUUUAUAAUAAUCUACUAUGUUCAUAAACAUAGAACCUGUAAGGAUUUAAAGGGUUAAAAAGAAGUUUUUAAAAGAUAGAGGGUAAAAUACAAAAUAGAAUAUUUAUAUGGGGUUAUUUGCAUAUUAG
rnacentral:lncRNA from 1 species